UAAAUCUAUAAAUCCAUCUUGAAGUUCAGAAAUCUGAAUCAUAGAACAAUUAAAUUACUCAAAGUAAUACAAAUAAGAUAGCAUCAAACCAGAGAUUAACGUUAAAGUUUAUUUAUUCUAAUAGAUAAGCUUUUCUAUGAUCUAGUUUUGUUGUCAUUAGAUAACCAGGUUAUCAUCAAAUUAAUAGUACUAUAACAAAGAAAUGUGUACAAAAUUCAUCUGCUGAAAAGCUAACGUUUGUAUUUGAUACCCUUUUGCAAAAUUCUGUAAUAGGAUAAAGGAAUUUCUGCUCAAAUAAAAAUACGUAUGUAGUUUCAAAUGAAUUCCAUAUCAAUUUAUAAAGAAUUGCCAAUUUUCCUUUAUCUAUUUGUUCUAGGAGCAUUGUAAGCCAAAGAAUCGAUUUGUUAAAGGAAUAAACAUUAAAAAAAGACAAGUCUAUAUGGCUAUAUCUUUUAUUUGUGACAUAUGAAUUCCUAAGCUCAUAUAGAACAGAUUUCAUAAAUAUCCUUUAGUUUUAUAUUCCUUUUCUAAUUGGUUAUUAGUCUGUUUUUCUAAACAGAAUAACUCUUCAUUUAAUCAUAAGUGGAAAUAAAAAUAUAGUUAUCAUUUUCCUCAGAUGUAUGUCAAAAUGAUAUAGGAAAACUCUGAAAUCAGAAUACUAAAAGCUAGUAAGACAGUUUGAUUAGAAACAGAUUUUUACUUCUAUGUAAUACAAAUAUAUAUCAGUGAAAAUUAAUAUCUGUCCAGGGGGAAAUAGUCUGGCAUAAACUUAUAUUUGUAUAUAUAUGGCAUAAAACAGCCAUUAUUUCCAAAGGACAAUUUGGCUAAUUCUAGGAGAUGAUCACCUUUCUU